UUUUAAGGUGGCAGAAAUUAUGCAUUAACUUUAAGCGUUAAAUAUAAAGUUUAUCUUUCCUUAAAAUCC
rnacentral:tRNA from 1 species